UGAGGAGGUUCAUUAAUUACACUGACUCUACACAACUGAGUUGCAGUUUUCGGGGUGGAAAAGAAAUUUUGGUUCUAAUGUGACCCUUGCUAAGCAGUCUGAAAACAGCACAGCUUGUCAGCAGUAGUGUUCACUUGGCAAGCUUUUCAACACACCUACUACCCAACCUGAAACACGCAUUAGCAGUUGAAACACACAUUAGUCCUGUUCCAUUAGUCAACACAGUGAUGGAAGAACUUCCAGACUGACAUCUGUCAACUAGAAGGAUGGACAGACUCUCCCCUGUGGGAUGCGUGUAUUGACCUGUGGCCGUGAAGUGGCCUGCUUGACACGUGGCAUCAUAUCAGAAGAAUGUUGUAUAAAGAAGGAUUUGCUACAGAAGUCCAGGAAGUUCACAUCAAGCAGAACCAGAAUAUUUGGGAUUAGUCUGUGCACAACCUGCAUUAGGAUACACAGAGGAACACAAAUAUCUGAGGUCAUACACAGUGUCUAUAAAAUGCUGGCAUCUUUCUCCUGUAAAUCACCCCCUGGUGACAACUGGGCAUUUUCAUGAGCUUCACAACACAGCUGCCUGUGGCACUCUAGCAUUGUGGGAUAAGAUAUGGCAUUGUGUGAGCGCCUGUGCGUCCCAGCCAUGUCAGCCUUUAUCCCUUCUUUCAAUCCUUCUGUGCCACACUGUAUAUCUCAAAAUCCCUUCUUCAAUUGACCCAAAUCUCUUAGUACCAGUGCUACCAAAUAACAUCUUAAUUAGGCCUCUGUCAUGGCAGGAAGCACUAAGCUCAGGAAGAGUAUAUGGCUUGCUCUACAGGUGCCUGCUAGCCUAAACCCAACUAAAUGAGCAUCAGUGCACCAGGGCUUUGGCCCCUUCGCACCUCUAUUUCCAUUCUCUGAGAUUUGUCCCAGUCAAGCCCUUAACCCUUCACCCAUCAUCACAGAGUGUCGGUCAGAUGCUAAUGCUGUAAGGCCUAUGAUAUUAAA